CUAGAGACGGCGUACAUAUCUUGCCUUUGGCAUUUCCCUGGACGUUAGCUUUGACCCGAGAGGGUAGCGACUAAGUACUAGGACCGGCAGGCGUUGAGUUCCCUGAUCAGGAAACGCGGCCGGU
rnacentral:ncRNA from 1 species